GCCUUAGUUUAGUUGGUAGAACGUCGUAGUACAAAUCCGGAGAUCGUGGGUUAAAAUCCUACAAGCA
rnacentral:tRNA from 1 species